rnacentral:rRNA from 1 species
GCGGCGGACGGGUGAGUAACACGUGGGCAACCUGCCCUGCAGACUGGGAUAACUUCGGGAAACCGGAGCUAAUACCGGAUAACACCGAAAACCGCAUGGUUUUCGGUUGAAAGGCGGCUUUUAGCUGUCACUGCAGGAUGGGCCCGCGGCGCAUUACCUAUUUGGUGAGGUAACGGCUCACCAAGGCGACAAUGCGUACCCAACCUGAGAGGGUGACCGGCCACACUGGGACUGAAACACGGCCCAAACUCCUACGGGAGGCAGCAGUAGGGAAUCUUCCGCAAUGGACGAAAGUCUGACGGAGCAACGCCGCGUGAGCGAAGAAGGUCUUCGGAUCGUAAAGCUCUGUUGUCAGGGAAGAACAAGUACCGUUCAAACAGGGCGGUACCUUGACGGUACCUGACGAGGAAGCCACGGCUAACUACGUGCCAGCAGCCGCGGUAAUAC